AUUGAACGCUGGCGGCAGGCCUAACACAUGCAAGUCGAACGAGUGGCGGACGGGUGAGUAAUAUCUGGGAAACUGCCUAAUGGAGGGGGAUAACUACUGGAAACGGUAGCUAAUACCGCAUACCAUCAGAUGUGCCCAUAUGGGAUUAGCUUGUUGGUGGGGUAACGGCUCACCAAGGCGACGAUCCGUAGCUGGUCUGAGAGGAUGACCAGCCACACUGGAACUGAUACACGGUCCAGACUCCUACGGGAGGCAGCAGUGGGGAAUAGUGGACAAUGGGCGAAACCCUGAUGCAGCCAUGCCGCGUGUAUGAAGAAGGCCUUCGGGUUGUAAAGUACUUUCGGCGGGGAAGCGUUACCCGCAGAAGAAGCACCGGCUAACUCCGUGCCAGCAGCCGCGGUAAUUC
rnacentral:rRNA from 1 species